rnacentral:sRNA from 1 species
CUUCCGCUUGCUGAGGGCAGAUGAAGUGAAUGUGGGUGUCGAAACCGCCUGCCGUGACUAUCUUAUGCUCUGCCGCGAUCACGUCGGUGCAGGAUCCUAUGACCAUAUUUGGAUCGACGCCAUCCAUGACAUCUGGGUUGCCCGCCUUUCCAAUACCGACGAUGAUGCCAUCUUUGAUUCCAAUAUCGGCUUUGAAGAUACCAGACCAAUCGACAAUGAGUGCGUUCGUAAUGACGGUAUCCAGACUCUCAGUAUCAGAACGACCCCCAGCCUGUCCCAUGCCUUCUCUUAG